rnacentral:rRNA from 1 species
AUGCUCAACAAUUUUGUUCCAAAUGUGGUGUAUCCAGAGCGAUACUUCCGACGCAAGCACAUGUUGUCUUGGGAUUUGUUCCUUCACAAUGCUAAUUGUGUGAAGCAAUAUGAUCAGUUCUUUGAGCAGGGGAGGAAUUGCAUCGGAGAUCUUGGCCAUAACACUAUCGAGAAGGUGAAUGCCACAUUGCGCAUGAUGGCAUAUGGUGUUUUGGCCGAUUUCAUUGAUAAUAACUUGACAAUGGGAAAGAGCACUUCAAUCUUGUGCGUCAAGAAAUUUGCAAAGGCGGUGGUUGAAGUGCUUGAGCAGAGUAUUUGA